rnacentral:lncRNA from 1 species
GACAAUUGCUUGAGGUCACUACGAGAGUUAUCCAUAAAAGUCUUAGUAAAAUAAAACGUACAACAUUUUGAUACACAUUGGACACAUCCUUAUGAACCUAUAAACAUGGAAGCAUGUGUUCAACCAGAUUAUUCACAGUUUUUUUUUUUUUUGGUGUUUGGUAAUUUAUAAUCAUAUCAUGUCUCAUACCCCUUUCUUCCCUUGUCAAUGCGACCACAUGCCCUCUUUUCCCUAAUAUAGGAAUAACUACCGUCGUCCAAGCGUCUUAGAUCCAGUUUUCCCAAGCUUCACCUUAGAGCACCGGAUGCCCCUUCAUUUCCACCCCAAGGUAUUUUCUCAACCUUGCUUAAAUCAAUGUUUUUCAGUUUUUUUUUUUGUCUUUUCUCACGCACACACAGCCUCAUGCUCUUCAGAGUUUCCACAUGCCCGAGCACUUGCUGUCGAAGAUUGUUAGUUUAAUGGCCGAUGAAGGUGUUGAUUUUUUGAAGAGCUCGCUUAAAGUAGG